GGUGAGUAGUGAGAAACAACGAGAGAUACCUGACGAAUCGCUUAAUGGAAUGCAUUUUUGUGUGCAAUGUUAUACAUAUUUAUGUUCAAUUAUAUGCAUAAUCAGAAGCCUUCUCUAGGUAUGUAUUUUUUUUUCUUUUCUUUUUUUGUUAUUUUGUACUGUCAUACACGCUCAGGCCUUUAAUGUCGUACACGCUCUAGUCAUUAAAGGAGGAUGAACGGACUCAUCAGUAUGAGCCAAAACUCGCGUCAGCAUAUCUUGCAUCGUCGGUUCAUAGUUGAAAU
rnacentral:lncRNA from 1 species